rnacentral:rRNA from 1 species
UUGUUGGGUUAAAGUGCUACCCGAGGUAACCACUGUCACGGGCCUGAAACGAUGAUUAGUAACACUGGAACUGAAACAAGGUCCUGACUCCUACGGGACGCAGCUUCGGGGAAUAUUGGACAAUGGGCGUAAGCCUGAACCAGCCAUGCCUCGUGUGUGACGAAGGUCUUCGGAUUGUAUAGCACUUUAAGUUGGUAGGAAUUUCAGUCAGUUAAUACCUUGUUGUUUUGACGUUACCUUUAUAAUUUGCACCGGCUAACUUCGUGCCCCCAUCCUCGGUAAUACCCAGGGUGCAAGCGUUAAACGGAGUUACCGGGCUUAUAGCGCACGUAGGGGGUUCAGCAAGUUGGAGGUGAAUUCCCCGGGCUCUACCUGGGCGCUGCAUCCACACCCACUGAGCUAGAGUACGGUAUAGGGUGGUGGAAUUCCCUGAGUAACGGUGAAAUGCGUAGAUGUAGGAAGGAACACCAUUGUCUAUGGUGACCACCUGGACUGAUACUGCCACUUAGGCGCCCGAUAGUUGACCAGCAAACAGGAUUACAUUGCCUGAGAAAUCCGCGCUGUAUACGUUGGCGACUA